CCCUACGGGGGGCAGCAGUGGGGGAUAUUGCACAAUGGGGGGAACCCUGAUGCAGCGACGCCGCGUGAGCGAUGGAGUACUUCGGUAUGUAAAGCUCUGUCAGCAGGGAAGAAAAUGACGGUACCUGAAGAAGAAGCCCCGGCUAACUACGUGCCAGCAGCCGCGGUAAUACGUAGGGGGCAAGCGUUAUCUGGAUUUACUGGGUGUAAAGGGGGCGCAGACGGCGAUGCAAGCCAGGAGUGGAAGCCCGGGGCCCAACCCCGGGACUGCUCUUGGAACUGCGUGGCUGGAGUGCAGGAGGGGCG
rnacentral:rRNA from 1 species